AGCAACUUGGCGCAGCGGAAGCGCGCGGGGCCCAUAACCCCGAUGUCCCAGGAUCGAAACCUGGAGUUGCUA
rfam:Sphaerobolus stellatus SS14 unplaced genomic scaffold SPHSTscaffold_286, whole genome shotgun sequence.